UACCAGCUCUCCGAGUGGUAGGGAUGAUUAUUGGGCUUAAAGCGUCCGUAGCCGGCUUGGCGAGUCUCCUGUUAAAUUCAGCGACCUAAUCGUUGAUCCGCGGGAGAUACUACUAGGCUAGGAGGCGGGAGAGGCCGACGGUACUUCCGGGGUAGGGGUGAAAUCCUAUAAUCCCGGGAGGACCACCAGUGGCGAAGGCUGUCGGCUAGAACGCGCUCGACGGUGAGGGACGAAAGCUGGGGUAGCGAACCGGAUUAGAUACCCGGGUAGUCCCAGCUGUAAACUAUGCGGGCUAGGUGUUGGGGUGGCUACGAGCCACUUCAGUGCCGCAGGUAAGCCAUUAAGCCCGCCGCCUGGAGAGUACGGCCGCAAGGCUGAAACUUAAAGGAAUUGGCGGGGAGCACCACAAGGCGUGAAGCUUGCGGUUC
rnacentral:rRNA from 1 species